GUUAUUACAAUCUGUCUGUGAACAAUAAGUCAUCCCAUUGGUUUAUAGGACAACAAGGAAUUCUCAUCUGAUUAAUAGUCUGCUCCAGAGAAGAGUUGUCUUGUUUAUCUCUGGUCAGCGAGUGUUGCCGGUAAACUUCUGCGCAUCGGGUCAAUGCCGACCGCAAAUCCUUGGAGAGCACCAGCCGCGGGGACGAGUUUGUCCUCGAGCGACGGCACAAGGCACUGAGGCAGAGAGCGGGACUCAAAGCAAGCUGUUGUCCAUGCUACAGACAAACAGACCACCUCCUUCACAGCCUUCCACUUAACGAAAACAUUGUCCAAGCUUGCCUUGCUGCCUCAGAGGAUGUGUGUUACCUCUGCUAUAUAAAUACCCAUGUGCAGAUAAACUGGAUAUUUGAGAGCUUAACUGGGCUUGCAGAGCACUACCUGACAAGAAGUUUCGAACUUGCUGGAUGAACUGCUGGAUGCGCCGCACAUCUCCUUCUAUCUGGGUCCUCGUUAUGCUUAUCUGGUCCACAAGCCGCCGAGUAUUGCUUUGAAUCUGAUUUGCAGACGUCUCCGUCAUUUUAAUCUGCAAACAACAAUAUCCUGAUGGAGUCAUUUCUUCUUGAUCUGGAAUCCCAGCAGCCCUACCUCAACUCUGAGUGAACGGGGCAAGGCACUUUGAAAUUACGCUAUUCCCCGUUCUUAAUAUGCCGCCACUUUAAAGGAUUGUAAAUGUUAAAGAUUGAGGGUUGGAUUUGCAAAGGAAACUCUCAAAGAAGGACAGUACUGUUUAGCUUUAUAAAUAUAUUUGAAAUGGAUUUUGAAUUACUUUGGAAAUUCACUUUAUCUUUGCAAGCACCCGAGAGGCCGUAGAAAGAAGCCACAACAGCACUAACAUCCUCUAAUAGACUGCAUCAAAUGUUAGAGCAGAUACACCUGCGGAAUCAGAGAGGUUUCUACAUCCCCACCCCCUCUGCCAUACUAAUCCCAAACCAGGAGGAGGUCAGGCUUCCUCGUGACAUUUCCAGAGCCGCUCGUGUGUCUCCAGCUCUGUGGCUCCUGCGCUGGGGGGAGGCAGCACCCACGCACGCAGCACUCCCACUCAAAAAUUCCCGAAUUUCUGAAGCUGCCCAAAUGAUCAAGUCUC